rnacentral:rRNA from 1 species
UACGGAGGAUGCGAGCGUUAUCCGGAUUUAUUGGGUUUAAAGGGUGCGUAGGCUGGUAAUUAAGUCAGUGGUGAAAUACUACGGCUCAACCGGGGGGCUGCCGUUGAUACUGGUUACCUUGAGUUUAGAUGAUGUGGGCGGAAUGUGUCAUGUAGCGGUGAAAUGCAUAGAGAUGACACAGAACACCGAUAGCGAAGGCAGCUCACAAAGCUAUUACUGACGCUGAUGCACGAAAGCGUGGGGAUCAAACAGGA